UUUUUUUUUUUAAUUGUAAAAGACACCCUUACAGGCGUACCUUUAUUUGUACCAACCUGAAAGCGGAAACCAUAUAAGUAUCUUCAAGAUCUAAAUUGCAGGAUUCAAAAAUGGCGAACCCUCCUUGUAUUGCAAUUAUUGGAGCUGGCAUCUUCGUUAGAACCCAGUACAUUCCCAGAUUAGCUGAGAUCUCUAAUCUCUUUAAGCUUAAGGCUAUUUGGAGCCGCACUGAGGAAUCUGCGAGAGGAGCAAUGGAGAUAGCGCGGGGUAAGAGUUUCCCAGAGGUGGAGUGUAAGUGGGGUGAUAAGGGUCUCGAUGAGAUUAUCCAAGAUGGGUCAAUUCUUGCUGUUGCUGUGGUUCUCGCUGGACAGAUUCAGGUUGAUAUCUCACUGAAGCUACUGAAGGCAGGGAAGCAUGUCCUGCAAGAGAAACCAGCAGCAGCUUCUAUAAAUGAAAUAGAAACUGUUCUAUCAACUUACAAAUCUAUUUAUACCAAUUCCCCUAGUCAACCAAUUUGGGCUGUGGCAGAGAAUUAUAGAUUUGAACCUGCUUUUGUGGAGGGAAAGAAACUGUUGCCUGAAAUUGGGGACAUGAUGUCUGUCCAAGUUAUUGUUGAAGGAUCAAUGAAUAGUGCAAACCCUUACUUCUCAAGCUCAUGGCGACGGAAUUUUAUUGGCGGUUUCAUUCUGGAUAUGGGGGUGCAUUUCAUUGCAGGAUUAAGAAUGCUUGUUGGAUGUGACGUGAUUUCAGUGUCGGCUAAUAUCUCUCAUGUGGACAAAACUUUACCUCCACCUGAUAACAUAUCCUCUAUCUUUCAACUGGAGAAUGGAUGUUCUGGGGUCUUUGUAAUGAUUGUAUCCUCAAGAUCACCAAAGGCAUGUGAUAUACUGGCGAAUUGUCGGCUUAAAGGGAACACUAGAAAUUGGCAGGGGAAUGCAGGAUGGACAACAUGGUUACACGGUUUCAUUUUAUGGUGCUGAUGGGCACAGCAAAAAUUGGUUCUACCCAUUCAGUGGAGUGACUGAAGAAUUAACUACUUUUUUGCGUGAUGUUUCACAUGCGAACCUUAAGAAGGGAAGUAACCAUGAAAUAGAGCCCCGUCUCUCUUUCAUUGAAGGUGCUAGAGACGUUGCUGUUUUAGAUGCAAUGCUUGAAUCUGGAAUGAAAAAUGGAGCUCAGAUUCAGGUAAAGAAGUUAUAAGUUAUACGCUAAAUACGAUCUCAAGAUGAUUAUGCUAGGGAUAGGGGAAGGGAGAGAGAAGAAAAUAAACAAAUAUUGUACUACAUUCUGCAAGUGAACUGCAUUUCUUUAGUUUAAGUCAUUGAUUUACGCUGUUAAUUUUCAAUGGUGUAUGUAUUUCAAGUUCUUAGGUUGUAGAUUGGUGCUGAAACUAGCAGUGUAAUUGAUUUAAUUUGUUACAAAUUCUGCAAAUUGAUGUUGUAAAGAUACUAGUGCGCUAAUAAAGGCUCAGAAAUUUAUAGGAGGAAGAGGAAGAUUAUUC